CAGGGAGCGAGUAUGGAUAUGUGUAUGUGGCGUUGAUGUGUGUAUUAAAUAUGUGUGUGUAGGAACAUGUGCGCACUGUGUACGAGAUAAAGGAGAUAAAUGCCAAAUAAAAGCACCCACGCCGGAGAAAACUCCAGAGAACGUUUGUAAGAGAUGCUCUCUGCGCUCUAAGGGACGUGUCAUUCAUGCCAUAACCUGAAUUAUCCUUUGUGGCGAUUUAAAAAUGUUUGCCUCUCGGGUGCAGCCAGAUGCAACGGAACUUUCUAUGCAUUCUUUUUCUUCCUCCAGGAUGAUAGCGGCACGUGAUGUCACGAUUGAGGUUACGGGACUUGCGCUUGUAUAGGUUAGGUCAUGCAGAGGGGGAGGCGCUGCAGAAAUAAGACACGAAUUAUGCGGACGAGAACUGUCCACACUGCGGAAAAGAUCCAAAGAAGGAAUGCAAGUCGACUUCGAAUUCAGCACUGACGUUGCUCCAGGUUUUCUGGCACGUGGGAAUUCACGUAAAACUACCGUAAAACUCAUGCCUGGACUGAAAGAAAAUUGCAACCGUUUGUUGCGAGCGAAGCUGUAACUUUCAUCGGUACAUUCUGCGCAGUGCACCUAGCUGGUAAUCAGG